rnacentral:rRNA from 1 species
UACGGAGGGUGCGGGCGUUAAUCGGAAUUACUGGGAGUAAAGGGCGCGUAGGUGGUUCGGUAAGUCGGAUGUGAAAGCCCCGGGCUUAACCCGGGAACUGCAUUCGAUACUGCAGAACUAGAGUAUGGUAGAGGGAAGUGGAAUUCCCGGUGUAGCGGUGAAAUGCGUAGAUAUCGGGAGGAGCACCAGUGGCGAAGGCGGCUUCCUGGACCAAUACUGACACUGAGGCGCGAAAUCGUGGGGAGCAAUCAGG